rnacentral:rRNA from 1 species
AAAUUACGCCUGCAUGAAGCCGGAAUUGCUAGUAAUGGCAGGUCAGCAUACUGCCGUGAAUACGUUCCCGGGCCUUGUACACACCGCCCGUCACACCAUGAGAGUUGGGGAUACCCAAAGCCCGUGAGCCAACUGUAAAGAGGCAGCGGUCUAAGGUAGAAUCAAUGAUUGGGGUGAAGUCGUAACAAGGUAAC